AAGAGACAGCAGUAGCCGCGGGAAUACGUAGGGAGCGAGCGUUAAUCGGAAUUACUGGGCGUAAAGCGUGCGCAGGCGGUUGUGUAAGACAGGUGUGAGAUCCCCGGGCUUAACCUGGGAACUGCGCUUGUGACUGCACAACUAGAGUAUGGCAGAGGGGGGUGGAAUUCCACGUGUAGCAGUGAAAUGCGUAGAGAUGUGGAGGAACACCGAUGGCGAAGGCAGCCCCCUGGGCCAAUACUGACGCUCAUGCACGAAAGCGUGGGGAGCGAACAGGAUUAGAUACCCCCGUAGUCCCUGUCUCUUAUAC
rnacentral:rRNA from 1 species